rnacentral:ncRNA from 1 species
GCCCCGGCCCCCCUGGCCUUGCCGCCCGCUCGCCCCUGCCUCCGCCCUCCGGUGGAGUCCGGCCCUCCGCCCUCCAUGCAAAGCCUACAGCCGUCGGUGCCGCUCAGUAGCCAAUCUCUAGUCGUUCAACAGCAGCACCGCAUCAAGUGUGCAAAAUCGAUUUAAGGUACCGAAAACUCCUAAUUUUUGAUUUAGGGUUUGUUUUUUCGCACUAUGCUAUCAUGAAUUGAUGAACACAUACAUAAUUUUGCACAUCAUUUCUUCCUUAAUUAGCUUUAUUGAUAGAAACUAAUUUUUAUUGCAGGUUGAAGAAUGAAGAGGGCCGGAGACAUUGUUUCUCUUUUCUAGAGUAUAGUCAAGAGCAAGUUGAGAAAUAAGAUGGGUGAUAGUCUUUUGGAUGAUUGCCUAGUCACAUUCAUUGAGAGUGAUGCUUUUGCCGAGGUGAAUGAAGAUGAUAUAAUUGAUACUUUCAUGGCAAUGCAAAAGCGUAGGCUAGAAAUAUAGUCCUUUUGAGCUUCUCAGGGUAUGUAUUAUGGUCCAUGUAGUAUGUACUAUGUAUGCUUCUUUAUGCAAAACUUAGACUUAAUUGAGAAUUUUAGUGUGUUUGUAAGACCAUAUUGAUCUAUUUCUAUGUGAUACUGGUAACUAGUUAGAACGUCCACAUGGCAAAUUUCUUGUAAAAAAAUUUGGGGGGAGGGGGGGGGUCGGACCACCCUGAUGUCAAAUGCUAGCUCCGCCAUUGGUCACACCCAUAGUCGUCCCUCCCGUGGUUCCCGCCAGCGGUGGCAACAAGCUGAAGGCCGUCCGCCGCCAAGGGUUUGCGCUGCCCCAAAUAGACAACGCUGACGGCAGGGAUGCACCUAAGGACCCAGUCGUCGUUGACAAGUUUUAGUGCGGGUGAAGAAGGUCGUCGGGAAGAGGCUAUUGCGGGAUUCAUCGGCAAAGGGUUGUUUCCCACGCGAAGAAGAAGGCGGUGACAACGGUUACUUCCCCAUCGUUGUCGAUCCCUUCCACGACAGUAGUUGCUCCUCCAACAAUGCUUAGGGCCUCUUCCCCUCCCACCGCUGCAUGAGGACCAGUAGACAUCACUCGUCGCCAGAACCGUUAGCGUCCCCAACAUGUUCGAUGAAGUCAUCGAGAGGUAAAUAAAUCCGGUUUUCAUUGAUUUUACAUUCCGUAUGCACUUGUGAUGUGAUGUGAUGUUUGUGUAUUUUUCUUCAAAUUUUGUGUAUGUAGUGUGAAUGAGGAAUCAUUUUUGCAAUACACUUGAUGGCUGCUAAUAUUUUGAUGGUGAUGUGAUGUUUGUUUAUCGUUGUACUUGUUUAGUUGCCACUAUGAGUUUGGAACCUUGAACAGACCGCCGGAGGAAGAAGAGGAUGAGGCCAAGUCAUCAUGCGCCUUAUGCCCUGGGCGACAAAUGUGCUACAAUGGGCGGGACAAAAGGUCGCGAUCUCGCGAGGGUGAGCUAACUCCAAAAACCCGUCCUUAGUUCGGAUUGCAGACUACAACUCGCCUGCAUGAAGCAGGAAUCGCUAGUAACCGCCGGUCAGCCAUACGGCGAUGAAUCUGUUCCCGUGCCUUGUACACACCGCCCGUCACACUAUAGGAGAUGGCCAUGUAUGAAGUCAGUACCCUUAACCGUAAGGAGGUGAUGUCUAAGGCUAGGCUUGCGACUAGAGUGAAGUCGUAAGAAGGUAGCCGUACUGGAAGGGACGGCUGGGGGACCC